GUGAGACAGGUGCUGCAUGGCUGUCGUCAGCUCGUGUUGUGAAAUGUUGGGUUAAGUCCCGCAACGAGCGCAACCCUUAUCCUUUGUUGCCAGCGGUUAGGCCGGGAACUCAAAGGAGACUGCCAGUGAUAAACUGGAGGAAGGUGGGGAUGACGUCAAGUCAUCAUGGCCCUUACGACCAGGGCUACACACGUGCUACAAUGGCGCAUACAAAGAGAAGCGACCUCGC
rnacentral:rRNA from 4 species